CCCUUACUACUGCUUUUGAUGAUGUGUCUGGUAGAUUUGGCUGUGUCAUGGGAAAUGUAAGUACAAGAUGAAGAAUCCAACAUAUUUGUGAUGGGGUAAUUGUCUUAAAACCAUAUUAAGCCCUCUUCAUCUUGAAACACUGCAGGAAUUAUUAUUACCUGUAGCUUUGCAGUCACCUGUGUUCCAUUUCUCACUGUGUGUUCAAACCCACCUGCUAUUUCAUAAUUAAAAAUCUGCCCGUGGUAUAAAACAGACAGAUGAAGGAGACUGACGUGCCCAAAAUCAGAAAAAUAGUUAGAAAGGCUGGGCAUGGGGUAAGAGAAACGUAUUUGAAUAACCUGGGCACUGUCACCAUUUAAAUCAUUGUGAAUGGUGACCUAUUUAGGAAGCAAAGUAAAACUUUUUCCUUAAUCAUCAAAGAAAAUUUCGUGUAAGACGUGAGCUUGUUGGAGCUGGUAAAAAUUCCUUAUUCUUGGCUGCACCUUCAGUAAGUGACUAGUUAAUAUUAUGCCUUUAACCAGAGACAAAUAAUCAAGGUCUGGCUACCUUGGUCUACUCAAGGUCUCUUUAAUGCCUCAAGCAUCACCCCUGGCUGUGUUUCUGCUCUUUGCCUGCAUUUUUGUUAGUCCCUACGUGCACUCCAGGGACAAGGGUGCUUGUGGGGCGGGUGCUUGUGUAUUGUUGAAGAUGUUUGUCCACUUUUACAAGCUCCUUUUUGACCUUACCCUGUUUUUCUCGCUAAAAAGAUCACGUACACAAUGAGCAGAGCUGUUGUAGAGCCACCUUUAUGCUUAUUCAGCAAACAUCCUGCCUGUUCCUGUGGUAGCAGGGCCACUUCACACUCUGUCCCCAGCAGAAAAAUGCAGGCAAACAAAGGAGCCUGACUUCUUCCAGGGGCUCUUGCAGGGUCUCUAACACAGAGCAGGGAUGAGAACAGGAGGCAGCCCCGUGGCACAGGGCACGGGAGUGGAGUGAGAAGAUGCAAAGCAGGAACCCGCUGCCAGGUGGGAGGAGAGGGAUGAGCUCAGGCACUGACAUGGCUUGUCCUGGCAGCCAUAGCUGGGGACAGCAGAAAGCAGCAGAGGUUGUGAGCAUCAGGUUUUGUGUCCAAGUCAAUUAGAGGUUUCAAUUUUUCAUAAUAAUUGAGAUUAAAAUAUUUUAUUUAUCUGCUUGAUGUUUUUGAAGUGUUCUCUCCUCAAUGACAUUGCCAAUGUCAGCACUUAAAUUUUCUGGGAACAGGCCGUAUAAUACCUAAUACAUUAUCCCCCGGGCCUGGAUUAGAGUGAUUUUGGCCAUUGAAAUGCUUCAUGCUUUAAAAUGAUAGCUACAUGUGAUAGGAGGUCUGUGCUUGUCUUCUCCAUGACUGCUCAGCAGGCAAGCUGCUCCCUGGAGUACUGAGGAGUUUUUCUACCCCUCCCUACUGGCAGCAGUGGAGUUCUCUGGUAUAUGAUGGCCUAAUUUUUGACCACGUGCAGAUGCUGUGAAGGGUUUGUUUGUAGCUUUGUGGCAAAUGUUUUACAGGGAUCUGUGACAGCAGGGACCAUCUCCCUUUGUAGAGGAGAAAUGAAAGCGCUCUCGUUAUCAAACACACACCAUGCUCUCACCGAGUGCAGGCUGCAGCUGCUGGGACAUCAAAAGGUGAUGAGUUUGCAUUAGACAAGUAAACUUGCAAUAGGAAUUCUCCCUCUCUAAGAUCCCUUCAUCCCUCAUGAUGCAAUCCUUUGGGCAAGGGCUGUCAUGUACUACAAGGCUGUGUAGCUUAUCACAACAGGACUCUGGCUCAGCUGAUGCCUCUAGAUACCACCAAGAAAUAAAUAUUAAUAACAUGGCAGCCUCCCUGCUUACUAUAUUCCUGCUUCCAGCCUCCUUAUUACUGAUCAUCUACAGCUGGAGAAAUGGAUGCAAAAUCAUCUUCUUUCAAAUAAGGCUGUGCUAAAAGUGGAAGGGGGCAAAAAAAAGGCAACUGAAAUAAUUGCAGGCAUAAGGGGGCUUUGAUUUGAGACAAUAUUAGGCAUUUAAUUCUCAGAGCAGACUACUAAACAAAAGUGUGAUGGAAGGAUGUAUACUAAUGAAUGGCACAGAGGUCAGCGGGGCUGACCCUGUGUGUUUGCAGUGUAUAAAAGGAAUGCCCAAUGAAACUUAAAGGUGACAGGUUUGAAAUAGAUAAAUUAGUUAUUUUUAUGCAGUGGAAAACUUAAUCUGUAAAUCUCAAUUCCACAAGAGGCUGUGUUGUUAUGAGAUACCCUUAAAACAGAACUGAUGAGUUUUUUACCCACCACUCUUACUAGAGCUAUUCAGUUCAUUUAAAAGGAUUUGAGCUUCAUCUCUUAGCUAGAAAUCAGAGGUGGCUGUGUUUCAGGAGCAAGCAAUUAAAAAAUCUUAUAAAACCUGAACUGAAGACUGUAUCAAGAACAUUUAACACUCAGAACUAUAUGUCUUACCCUUUUUUCUGCUAAGAGGUGCUAGGUAGGGUAAAGGUGGGUGAGCCGUGUUGAACCAUGUGUUCUGAAAGUUCUGGAGUGUUUAGUACUAAAUUAUUUCCAGUCACACAACGUCUUUGUGGCUGAGAAAAUGCAAAUAAUGAUCCAAUGAUAGUCACUGUAAUAUAGCAGUUUAUUAAACUUCAUCCCAUUAAUACAAUUAAAUCUGAGGUGAUGAUCACUGCACUGGGCACUGGGUAAGGCAAAAAAUUUGUCUUCUCAGACAUUGAUGCAAUAAAAUAGAAUCCUUUCUGUCCCUGGAGAUUUCUGAUGCAGUCAAAGAAAUCCAUGUUUAAACCAGUAAAGAACGUGGUCCUCUGGCUUAUUUUGAGUGAAGACUCUAACUGCAAUACUAGUGGAGUACUUACUUCUAAAGCUGUUAUAGAGAUAAAUUUUGGUCAAUGAGAUGUCUUCAGUCCCAUUGAAAUGUUUUCAUGGAAAGCUAUUUUUUUUUUCUAUUUUACUUAAUUUUUUUUAAGGGGGAGAUAGUCCCACAGGUGCUUAGGAAAAGAAAAGGACCAGAUCAAGAGGAGAAAGGUAAAAUGUCAUACAUCUCAACCAGUCCUUCUCAGUAUCAAACAUGGACAUCUCCUGAAUACAGAAGGCAACAGAAAUAACUCUGGUGUUUGUUUUACAAACAUCUAGUUUACACAGGGGAGGAGCCAGGGAGUUCAAUGUGCUGGCAUUUUUAGCCAUUUAAAUUUUCAAAUGCAGCUGAACAGUGAAUUUUGAUAAUUGGUCUCCCUAAUAUUCUUACUAAAUACAAAUUAAGUCAUUCAAAGGACUUGGGUUUGCACCUAAUUAUUAAAAUCACUGAAUUGAAAACCAGUUUUCACUCACAGUUUUGAACCUUUUGCUACACAUGAGUCAUGUCACCCAGAAAAGCCAUCCCACAGAGUAUUCAUCUAAUCCAUCUGGUAGUGCAAAUAGUGGAGAGACUCAAAAUAACAAGAAAAUUGUUUACAUUUCUGAAUUACUUUCUUGCCUCUUUAUAGCAGCUCAAACAUUUACACAAACUUGUUAAGCUGCUUAAGGAGAGGAUUAUUUGGGCAGGUAAUGCUUCUUUCAGUAAGUUAAGCUGUAAGGAAAGCAGAUGCUUGACUUCAAGGAAUUUGGAGAAAUUGCCUCUGGGAGAAAUUUAAAUAAAUUAAUAGAGAGCUUCUGCUCUCCUUCCUUCUCCGUCUUUAUUUUAGACAAGUUAUUCCCUCUCUGUGAAGAUGGGUCUGUGCAAUACGCACAAGGAAGUUGGUUAAUUAUGUAAAGCUGCACCAGGUAAAUGUUAUUUAGAGAUGGCUAAAAAACUUUGUAUUACACUCAUUUGCCAAGAAUAAUCUCCCUCAUUUCACAGCUGAUGAAGAGUUGUUUUUAAUUGUCAUUAAGGUAAGCUACAGAUUGUAUUCUCCUGCAUAUUUUUACCCAUUUUGACUGUUAUCUUUCCUUGCAUUUUUUAAUUGUAGCCCUGCAGGCACUGUGCACAUAAUUGAAGUAACCAAUCUGUUUUUGUUUAUCUAUGUUUUCCAUUAAUUAGAUAUGUGGAAUCUAAAUUUCCUGCUGCAAAACACAAGGUGACAUGCUAAGGGACCAAAUCUGCUUUUCCUCACCUGGCUGGACUGCCAGUGUUGGAGAAGAUACUUCCAGAGCAGGAGCACAGCAGUGUUUGUGUCUGGGCUGGACAGGGAGUGGAGGUGAGCAAGGGGCUCUGGAAAGGACUGGAGGAGGGAUGUGAGAGGCCCCAGCUUUUCCUUGGGAGUGAGGCUGAGCCUUCCUGUACCUUUGUUUGCUGCAGGCUGGGUGUUCAUGCCCCAGGAGUUUCACCUCCUGCCUGAGCUGGGCUCACAGCAGUGCUGAUGUGGCUCCUGGCUCCCUAUUUUCAGCCUGCCCACAAAUGACCACUAAUAAGAGAGGGAAUAGCCUGAGUUCUGGGUGUGCAGAAUGGCAGGUACGUGGAGAAUUCCAUAAAGGAAUGGGUCAGUAAAUACGAAGCUCAAAUGUAAAUCCAGAGACAAUCAUCAGGGAAAAAUCUUUGGAGCUAAAAGCAACUUAUUGCUGUUUUUUGAGGUUCUUCUGACACUUUGUUAUGGAUUGACAACAUUUUCCUACGUGCUUUGUGAGCUCAGGGUUUGCUGGUUUUUACUCAAAAGGAUAAAUAAAUGGUUCUUUGCAGCUAAAGGCCUCUUUUACCAGUAUAUAUAUGCCAUAAUUCCAUCAAAAUCCUGUAAGAGCCUCCCUGAUGUCAGACUGGCCUUACACACACAUUAAUGACUUACCAGGUACUAACUCCCUGCCCAGCCCACACCUUUUCCCUCUUGCCUCCCCUCUGUUGCUCAGUCAUUUUUCUUUGCUUGUUGCUUGCCUGCAGUGAUGGGUACGUGUCCUUUUCCUCACCUGGAGUCUGGCAGUAAAUCAUUCAUCUGCUUUUCUUUUUUUUCUUUUUACAUUCUGGAGCAUCUACUCUGAUUAUUUUGAAGCAGAAAAAAGACCAAUAAAUGAGGAGAAUCCUGAAGGUAAGUACUUCAGUGAGGACUUAAUGUCAAGGUACAGUACACAUAGAAGCUUUUACAGGAACUAUUUGAAAACUGUCAUCCACUGUAUAUUUUAAAGGCAAGACAUAAUUCAGACAUCUGAUUGACUGCCCUUGAACACUGAUUUUUGCUCUAAGACUUUAAUUUUUCAGAAACCUUGAUUUAAGAACUUUUUGAAGGCAUCAUAUAUUGCAUUCAUCACUCUUAGUGGAUUAUUUCUGCUGCCUUAGCUGCACCAGCUUUGUGGGGACAAUAUGGCAGAAGGAGGAAUGUUAAGCUCUGUCAGAGAAGUGGAAAAGUCACCUCUGUAAAUUCAGGAUUGCUUAAGAAUUGUCUUCCCUCUUCAUUUGGAAGUACAAGAGGUGCCCCUGGUCCCGAGCAGUUCAGUGGAAGCUGCACACUGGAGGUUUGAUGGAAGAGAAGGCUGGAGAGCAACAUGUGCCUGGGAGGAGAGGAGAUGUCUGUGUACUUCCCUUCACCUGUUUUCUGACAAGGAAUAAUUAUACUCCAAACAGAAAUUAAGCAAGUAGUUUCAGCAUGCAUGUUUUGUUUCCUUUAAGACAGGGUAUAGCUGUAAUGUGCUCUGCAUUUCCAAGUACUGGCAUUUUUACAUAGGUAAGAAAUACUCAAGUCUGAAAUACGCUUUACAGCUUCUUACAGAAACUCAAGCCAAUUUUAGAAUGUUACCAUGUUAUUGCAAGCCAAAAGCAUUGGCAAUCAAAGGUGUUUUUAAAGCCAUUAGCUCCAGUUUAAUUGACUUGUUUUAGUUUUUCUCUUUGAUAACAUGUUGUUUUUGAGGAAAUGAAAUCACAGACAGUUUGGAGGGCAGGACUGACUCAGGCAUAGUGAGAAAAACUAUAACACCACUGUUUAGUCUUUGAGUCUGAAAUGAAAUCAUAACCCUUUAUUUCCAUAAAUGUUUCUCUUCACAGAUGUACUGGGAGAGGGUAAUUCUGUACCUUGAAAUGUGUAGACAACUGAGGAUGACAAAACCUGAAAACAAAUGUCCUGAAAAGAAUUUAUUACCAGGCAUUAAAACAGGACAUGCUCACUGAUGCUCAAAGAAACACUGACACCAGAAUUGAAUUACUGAUGGGCUGAAUUGGAGGACCACUUGACCAGGUCGUGCUGGAGCAGCCUGCCAGUGAAUGGGUGGAUGUGCAGCUGUGCAAGGGCAGAGCACUUUGGUCUUGCCAAAUGUAUUUCUUGUGUGCACCCCUAGAAAAACAAAGCAAUUUUUUCUGCCAAAUACUCUGCUGCAUAAAAGCUCCAGGAUCUUUACCCUCAUGGUGAAGUGAGGGCUGGAGAAGGGGUCUUGGCAUCUGAGCCCAUUGCCAUGGCCUCAGAGGGAUGUGCUCAGAGGAGCCAAGCCAGGCUCCUGCAGCUCCUGGCUCCAGCCCUCCACACCUGGAGCUUGGCAUAAAUGGGAAUUCUCCUUUUCUACAUGGCAGGCCAGCCUGGUGCUUCUGCUCGAGUCAAACCCAGUUGUCUUCUUGGGAAGUGAAAGAAUCAGACUGUAGAAUUUAACCUUGAACUUUACAUUUUAGUAAUGGAGCCAGUCAACUCCAAAAAAAGAUAUUUAUUCAGUAUAGGAUUGAGGUAUGUAGGUUUAAUACAGAAUUUAUCUGUCUGUGAAUAAGGAUGUAAAACAACACUUCAAGUUGAUCAUUACUAUUUUUACCACAUACCUCCCUUGCCCUGAAACUCCAUUUCAUUUUAAUCUGAAACAACAUUUUUCUUCUCCUUUUGUCACAUGACCUGGAAAAUCCAUUAUCAACCAAAUAUAAGCUAUCCAAAAUACGUGUAACUUCUGUCUAGAAAACUAAUUUAGGCUUUUAUGCCAUCAGUCCAGAGUUUCAGACCAUUUGUGGUACUCUUCCUUUCAUACUUAUGAUUUGCUCUGUUCUACAGCCUGAAAUAUGAUAAUCUGGUCAAAACAGAAAUGCAAAAGAGGACAAUUUUUACAACCAGAUUUAAAGCUUCUGUUUUGUGCUACAAACAAAAAGUAAAGAAGGUGUGCUGUAUUAAUUUCUUCUUUUCUAGAAGCACCAGCAAAAAAAGGGAGCGGGGAAAAGAAAUCUGUAACAGAAAAACAUAGAUCAACAUCAGCAUUUGUUGAUUUUUAGGCUUUAUUUCCUUUUAGUUUUUAAACUACGAUUUUCAAACCAUUCACUUGGAGAAAUUUGCAUUUUAUGUGAACCAAAUGUGAUGUGAUUUUAGGUAACUUACCUAUUUUUCCUCAGUUUGUGGCAUCUAAAACCAACCGUGCUUGUCAUCAUCUCAGUAAUUUCUCAUCAUUGAAGUUAAAAUAUAAUCUAAGUUUUCACCAAAUGAGCUGUUCCAAGAUGAGUUUGCCAAACUCUGUAUUGCUGUGGGAUUUCUGCAAUUAUGAUUAGAUGCAAACAAAAAUGUUCUCUGGAAUACCAGUGAAUACAACAUUGAUUAGCUUCUCUCAAUCCCACAAGGGGUUAGGAGAAGCACAACUUGCAUUUUGUCUCUGUGUCUCUGUCUCUGCCAACCACAGUUGUGCUGGCAGAUCAGCACAAUGAAAAGGGGACGAAGGGAGGAGAAGCAAGGACCCGAUGGAGGACUUUUAUAUUACUAGGUGCUGAUGUGCUUUAGGAUGUUGGUACUCACCAGAAGUCUCAAACUGAUGAAUUGAUUGUGUAGCUGCAUCCCAUCCAGAGGACAGAAAUCAGCAGUACAAGAGUCUGUGUGUGAUUUUACUGCCCCCCAUGUUUAUUUUAGCUGAUUAUUGGUUCUCCCACCAAAAUGUGAAAUAAACAGGCAAAGGCAGCAUUUGUCUUAGUCUUGCCUGAGAAAUUCCCAAUGGCAAAUAGAAGCAUAUUUCCAUUAUCUAUCAGUGGAUUUUACAUUUCUGCUCCACAAACCAUUCUGCACCUGGAAAAAGCUCCCCAUUUGAGCAGUUUCUCUAGCAAGGCUGUUUGUUUAAGGCUGUUUGCUGCAUUAAGGCAAAAUUAGGAUUUUUGUCUGAUUUUAAUUAAUCCCAAACAGUGAUUCCCUUUCUGCUGUUGGCCAGUGAAGAGAAACAGGUAAACAGUCAAUAUGUUGUAUAUUUUUGCUCUUUUGCAGAAAUAUCAUGCCUACUGCAGGAAGAUGUUACCUGUGCUGUAAAACUGUCGUGUUUUUCUUAGGGGAAGAAAUUAUUUUCCCAUCCAUAUACCUAUGCAGAGCAGUUAGUCUUCUUAUACUCUGUACAUGCAAAAUGCUUAAUAAUUUUAUCUUCAGCUUUCAAGCAUAAAAGUGAGAAACUUACCCUACUCCAAACUUAACUACUUGUGUAUGUUGUUGAUAUCAAAUAAGAUUACUGCUUGGAAGA